AGAGUUUGAUCAUGGCUCAGGAUGAACGCUAGCUACAGGCUUAACACAUGCAAGUCGAGGGGCAGCAUGUUGGUUGCUUGCAACCAACGAUGGCGACCGGCGCACGGGUGAGUAACGCGUAUCCAACCUACCCUUGUCCAUCGGAUAACCCGUCGAAAGGCGGCCUAACACGAUAUGCGGUUCACAGCAGGCAUCUAACGUGAACGAAAUGUAAAGGAGAAGGAUGGGGAUGCGUCUGAUUAGCUUGUUGGCGGGGUAACGGCCACCAAGGCUACGAUCAGUAGGGGUUCUGAGAGGAACGGUCCCCCAGAUUGGAACUGAGACCACGGUCCAAACGUCCUACGGGAGGCA
rnacentral:rRNA from 1 species